AUAAUAUGUUGUGUUGUGACCAGUGAUGUGAUGGAAUGUGGAUGCGAUGUUGGACCCGAAGAAGGGGCAGGAGAUUCGUCACGAAGAGGCACGGUCCGUGUCUGCAGCGCGUGGGGUGAAUUCAGCUACAGCUUAGGUCCACUUGCCUGCCUUUCAAAAGCAAAUUGUAACGUGGUAACUACUGGACUUGGACUGGAUGUUUGGCCAGGUCAUAUUUUUGUAAAACUGAACUAAACCACACACGGGAGCUCAUAAUUCAUCAACCCUAGGGUAACCGAUGGACAAUCUAACCAUUUCGAUUACAUACAUCAUGCCGGGAAGGUCUUGCAUAAGAAAACAACACUCCGCACAUUGAAUGACCAUCGUAGAAACCCACCUAAAAUAAAUUUUAAAAUCGGAAUCCUGAUUUACAAGACUACAGUGUCGACCCACCCAUCAAAC